rnacentral:tRNA from 1 species
AGCGGGGUAGAGCAAUUGGCAGCUCGCAAGGCUCAUAACCUUGAGGUUGCAGGUUCGAGUCCUGCCCCCGCAACCA